CCUCCUAAGUGCUGGGAUUACAGAUGUGUGUCCCCACACCUGGCUCCCAAUGGCAUUUUUGUAACGGUGCUUCUUAAAAAGUGACCGUGUGGGGGCCAGGGAGAUG